rnacentral:rRNA from 1 species
GACGAACGCUGGCGGCGUGCUUAACACAUGCAAGUCGAACGAUGAAGCUGGAGCUUGCUCCGAUGGAUUAGUGGCGAACGGGUGAGUAACACGUGAGCAAUCUGCCCUUCACUCUGGGAUAACUGCGGGAAACUGUAGCUAAUACCGGAUACGAGGCUUGGAGGCAUCUCCAGGCCUGGAAAGAAUUUCGGUGAAGGAUGAGCUCGCGGCCUAUCAGCUUGUUGGUGAGGUAAUGGCUCACCAAGGCGACGACGGGUAGCCGGCCUGAGAGGGUGACCGGCCACACUGGGACUGAGACACGGCCCAGACUCCUACGGGAGGCAGCAGUGGGGAAUAUUGCACAAUGGGCGAAAGCCUGAUGCAGCAACGCCGCGUGAGGGAUGAAGGCCUUCGGGUUGUAAACCUCUUUUAGCAGGGAAGAAGCGAAAGUGACGGUACCUGCAGAAAAAGCACCGGCUAACUACGUGCCAGCCGCCGCUGUAA